UUAGGGGUAUCAUGCAGCCCGCUUGAAAGUAAGCACUCUUUAUUUUCCCAUUUCGAUGUCUUCAGUAGCACCUCGUCCUGUAAGUUAAUAAGUGUACCGCCGAAUUUCUAGCACGACCCCCUAACGGGAAUAUUUAAUACGAAAAGCAGGAACAAGUUAUGUCAGACAAAAUUACUGGAACAGUUAAGUGGUUCAACGAAAAUAAAGGAUUUGGAUUCAUUGAGCGCGAAGGCGGCCCAGACGUAUUCGCUCAUUUCAGCGCUAUCCAGAGCGAAGGUUACAAGACUCUCGCUGAAGGUCAGCGCGUUGAGUUUAUCGUAACUGACGGCCAGAAAGGCCCACAGGCUGAGCAAAUCAUCGCCCUCUAAGGCUGACUAAUUGCUAGUUUGUAGUUAGUUUAGAGAAAGGCGAGCCUCGCGCUCGCCUUUUUUGU
rnacentral:sRNA from 1 species